GGAUUGUAGCUUAGUGGUAGAGCACUUGCCUCGUAAGAAUGAAGCACUGGGUUCGAUCCUCAGCACCA
rnacentral:tRNA from 1 species